AAUUCUCUCGGAACAAUUCCGAAUUUACAACUCAUCAAUUGAUAAUUCAAUGGUUCUGACUCCCAUUGCGUGCGAGCCCAAUUAACUAAAUCUGGCCUGUAGCGGACCAGCUUAAAGGAAUUUUUUCCAUUUUUGGAUCUGUGAUUGAUCCUACGGAUUCUAGAAUUUUCUAUAGGUAUAAUCCGUAGUAUCAAUCACAGAUUCAAAAAAUGGCUUCUAGGCUGGUCCGNUAUUGGUCAUAUUUAGUAAUUGGUCUCCACGUAAUGGGAGCCAGAACCAUUGGAUUGACCAAUUGAUGAGUUGUAAAUUCGAAUUUGUUCCGAGAGAAUU
rnacentral:pre_miRNA from 1 species